rnacentral:rRNA from 1 species
GGGGAGCAGCCCAGAGUCUGAAUCAGCUUGUGUGUUAGUGGAACGGUCUGGAAAGUCCGACGGUACAGGGUGAUAGUCCCGUACACCAAAAUGCACAGGCUGUGAACUCGAAGAGUAGGGCGGGACACGUGGUAUCCUGUCUGAAUAUGGGGGGACCAUCCUCCAAGGCUAAAUACUCCUGACUGACCGAUAGUGAACCAGUACCGUGAGGGAAAGGCGAAAAGAACCCCGGCGAGGGGAGUGAAAAAGAACCUGAAACCGUGUACGUACAAGCAGUGGGAGCACCUUCGGGUGUGACUGCGUACCUUUUGUAUAAUGGGUCAGCGACUUAUAUUCUGUAGCAAGGUUAACCGUAUAGGGGAGCCGCAGGGAAACCGAGUCUUAACUGGGCGUUAAGUUGCAGGGUAUAGACCCGAAACCCGGUGAUCUAGCCAUGGGCAGGUUGAAGGUUGGGUAACACUAACUGGAGGACCGAACCGACUAAUGUUGAAAAAUUAGCGGAUGACUUGUGGCUGGGGGUGAAAGGCCAAUCAAACCGGGAGAUAGCUGGUUCUCCCCGAAAGCU